CCCCUAGAUGUUCUGGGCCGCACGCGCGCUACACUGAACAGUUCAACAAGUCUUAACCUUGGCCGAUAGGUCUGGGUAAUCUUUGAACGCUGUUCGUGACUGGGAUAGACCUUUGCAAUUAUGGGUCUUCAACGAGGAAUUCCUAGUAAACGCAAGUCAUCAGCUUGCAUUGAUUACGUCCCUGCCCUUUGUACACACCGUCCGUCGCACCUACCGAUUGAAUGGUCCGGUGAAAUCUCGGGACGGCGGCUUGGUCGCUUGCGUCCGACUGCUGAAACUUGAUUAAACCAUAUCAUUUAGAGGAAGGUGAAGUCGUAACA
rnacentral:rRNA from 1 species